rnacentral:lncRNA from 1 species
CACACUCAGGGUGAGAGGGAGAUUCUGAAGCUUUGUGUUUCUUGCUAGCUAGUCAAAGGUGACUAAUUCAUGUGAAAAAUAAUACAUGCCAAAAGAAAUUUGAGGAACAAAUUCAGCCCUGAGACAGGUCACGGAAACAGCCCUCCAGUCUUCCUCAAGAAAUGUAGACUGAAUCAGCAUUUACCCACCCCUGGAAAAACGCAGGAGCUGCGCAUUCCUGGGAUCUCAGCAGGGCUUUUGGGAAGAGCAGAACUGGGCUGGAGUCACGGUUUCUGGGCUGACUCUAGAUUUUCCCCGGCUUUUGCCACCUGUGAUGGCUGGAGAGUAUCUGAAGAUGACAGCCAGUGUCCUUAGCUUGUGAAGAUUGGAUGAUGGCCGGGGCCCUCAGACCCCUUGGCCCCUCCUUAACUGCAGGUCUUCAAAAGCCCAACACCUGUUCGUCAUUUCUGUGGCUUCCCAGGGAGUCUUACUCUUCUGCUUCAAGCUGCUGGGUUUGACUCUGAGCAGUUUCUGUGCAGCCACAAAGAUUCUUAUGUGAGACACACUGCUGCUUCAGAGUGCUCCAACCCAUCUCCCCUGAUUAAACACUAACCAGGGCUGCCACAGCAAAGUGGCUCAAAUGGGUGACGUCAACAACAGAUUUACUUUCUCAUAGUUCUGGAGGCAGGUGUCUAGGAUCAAGGUGGUGGCAAGGCUAUUCCUUCUGUUGCCUCCCUCCUUGCCUUGUGGAUGACCGUCUUCUCCGCGUCUUUCCAAGAUCUCUCCUCUGUGCAUGUCAGUGUCCUUGCUUCCUCUUCUUAUGAAGACACCGGUCAUGUUGGAAUGCAACAGAAGAGAGUGCACGGCUUCUGAGGUUGCAGCUUUUGGGAGAAGCCAUCUACCAUUGAUGACAGACAUGCCGUGUGGAAACCAAACCAGCCAUGUGGAGAGGCUACCUGGACAGAGGCACAGGGCCAGCAGCAGCUGUGGAGACAGACAUGUGAGCAAAGAAAUCAUCUUUGAUGUACAGCCAAGUUGAGCCUUCAGAUGACUCCGAUUUCAGCCACCUUUGGACUGCAACCACAUGAAAGACUCUAAAUAGAAGCCUCCCAGCUGAUCCCGGUUAACCCACAGUGCUGAAGGGGAUAAUAAUAAAUUGUUGUUUUAAGCCACUAA